GGUAGGCCUGUCAACAAUAUCGCAAAAUUUGGAAAGAUCUAGCACAGGCUGGAAACCCCAUUAAUUUUUGGAGCCGAUCAGACUCAAAGCAGUACUAUGUCGGCAAUUCAGAGCCAGUCUCAAUGAAGGACUGGCAGGAAGCAAGGGAGGAUACUAUAUCCAUUUAUUCUGUGAAAUUAGCAAAAGUGGUGUUUGGAAAUGACCUCCUUGCUGACUCCUGCGUGCCUGGACCCGGACAUAGACAAGGAACACCUCUGGAUGAAAAAAAAUUGAAAGCUAUAAUAAGAUAAGUUAAAAAGCUGUUUACGGAUGCAACAGAGCAAUGUGUUAAAGACGCCAUCCAAGUCAAGUGUAUGAAUGAGCGUAUACAAAAAAGAAAAAGAGGAGAAAGAAGGAGAGAGCCAGAGUAAUGCAAACUGAGGGUGUAGGGGGAUGGGGGUUAGCCUCGGCCAGUUAGCUUCCACCAUCAUUAAAAAUGGUGUACAACAUGUGCACACUUCUGCCCACAUUUUUCCAAACGAGCCAUUUAGGUGCCACAUCACUGGUGGACACAAAUGUACAGUAUGUCGUCUAUAUGGAUUGGUGAAUGAGUUGAGAAUUUCCUGCUGGGAGGAUCAGCCAAUCCAACAUAAUUUGGUAGAUUGAUUGACAUACUGUUAAAAAAAUAAUGAGCAUGAUUAUGCAGGAUUUUUCAAAUGUAAUAAAAAAAAAAAACAAUUGAACUCAA